rnacentral:tRNA from 1 species
GCUUUAACUCAGUUGGUAGAGUGCGACACUAGUAAUGUCGAAGUCACUGGUUCAAAUCCAGUAGGGAGCA